UCUUCUCUCCUCCUCACUGUUCAGAUCUGGAUCAGGCCACCGGCACGGCUCCGCCCCUCACUGCUCCGGUGGACGGUGGUCUACUUCUCUGACCUGCUCCUCCACCGCCCCUCACUGCUCCGGUGGACUACUUCUCCGACCUGCUCCUCCACCAGCGCGGCCGCCUCUUCUGCCCCCCGUCCUCAGCUUCAAGGCCCCAAGACCAGAUGAGCUCCGAUAGGUGCAGCACGGUUGGACAUGCUUUGGUGGGCCCAAGGGAAUCUAGUUCUAUAGGGCUUCAUAUACAUGCAUUAGAAUAUCAUCUCCCCGUGGAAUACAUGCAUGGCUGACACCAGGGUGGGCCACAUCGAUUGGACAACAUGCUGGAUGAACGGCAAGGAUAUAAGUUGCGCGCACAACGGGAGAAGUUCCACGUGCGUUCGCUAAGGAGCAACAAGGACGCGAUGAUGUCUGCCCUUUACCUUCAAGUGAGCAUCAUCAGCCAGGCCCUCAUCUUCGUCACCCGGUCGCGCCGCUGGUGCUUCCAGGAGCGCCCGGGGCUCUGGCUCUGCUUCGCCUUCGUCGUCGCGCAUAUCGUAAGCCCACCCCACCCGGCUCACUCCAACAAUGGAGUGCGCGCGAUCAUAUUCAGUUGUAGCUGCAACAAUACCAAAGGAGAACAGAACAAAUCAAUGAUAAAGAUGGCGUCGACACUCUUCAUGAAUGCCGUUCUUUUU